UGCAGGCUGUGGGUGGGAAGAGCCCUUGGCUGUGCACACAGUGACACUGAUUUGCUCUCUCCAACAGCUCUCACCCCUGAGGAUAUCAGCAUUUUGCUCCCGAAAGGGCAAACACAAAAGAUGAAGCCAUCGACACGGAGGGGUGUUGAGAGGAACAGCUGGCAUGAACUGUGGCCGCCCUGGCUGCGGUGCCUUCCAGGCUCCACUCCGAACCCACACAGGCUCAUGCUCUUGUUUGGAAAGGAGAUUCCAGCUGAGAGUCAGGUUAAGGUUCAGAUGGAGAUGAAGCCCUCUCUGCUCUGCAGUGCCCUACUCAGCCACCGCGGGAGGGCUUGGGCACAGGGUCAUAGGGGCAGAGGACAGGACACAGGCCACAUCCCAGGUCCAUGCCUCGCGGACAGUGUCACCUUGGGCAGAAUACAUUACCUGUCCCUUUCUUUGUCUGUUUCCUCACAUGCAGGACUGGAAGGGUGACACGCCGCUGCACCGGAAGGGUGGCACAGCACUGGAAGGGUGACACACCAUUUUCAGGAAUAAGAAAUGGCAUCCACACAGUUGCAG
rnacentral:lncRNA from 10 species